rnacentral:lncRNA from 1 species
AUAGUUCAAAGUGUGACAUUUGUGUACUCUCUUUAAUACUCAUACAAUAUGUGGCAUUACUCUAUCACAUUUACAUUUAUGGUAAAUACACUUGGAAACAAAACGAAACAUGCAAAAAUCUGCUGGACAAUCAGCAUCCUUUUUACAUCUAUUUUGUGCUGUAAUGAUGAAAAAGAAACAAAAACAUUUUACUACAAAUAAAAGAUUGCAUACAAACUACAAAGUAAAAAAAAUGAAAUUUUGAAAAAGGAUACAUAAAUGAAUUACCAUUAACAUCUUUUGCAGUAAGAAAUAGGAAAAAAAUCAGAAUCAUCGCAUAAGUAAAAGAUAGAGUUUUGGCCAUAGUUUUCUCUCUUUACAUCUAACAGUAGAGUAUGGUUUAAUCACUUUAUAUAUAAUACAUAAGACUCAUGUUCUUC